GACGUAGGGCGCGAGCGUUAUCCGGAUUUAUUGGGCGUAAAGGGCUCGUAGGCGGUUAUGUAAGUCGGGUGUGAAAACUGGGGGCUUAACUCUCAGAGGCCACUCGAUACUGCAUUGACUAGAGUUCGGUAGAGGAGUGUGGAAUUCCUAGUGUAGCGGUGAAAUGCGCAGAUAUUAGGAGGAACACCUAUUGCGAAGGCAGCACUCUGGGCCGAUACUGACGCUGAGGAGUGAAAGCGUGGGGAGCAAA
rnacentral:rRNA from 1 species